ACCUUGUCUUUGCUAGACUUUGGCCAUGAUUUCAUCGGUCAUGGUGAUGGUUAAUUAGGAACAAGAAAGAGAAAUAGAAAGAGAAAGAUGGUGAGAGAGAGAGGGAUCUCGAUGGCUUUUUGGCGGUGGAUGCUUAUAGAUGGGAAGAGGGUCUCUUCUUAUAAAGGAGCCCUAGAGUUUGACUCCAACUCCAAUUCCAUCGG
rnacentral:lncRNA from 1 species